GACGAACGCUGGCGGCGUGCUUAACACAUGCAAGUCGAACGGAAAGGCCCUGCUUUUGUGGGGUGCUCGAGUGGCGAACGGGUGAGUAACACGUGAGUAACCUGCCCUUGACUUUGGGAUAACUUCAGGAAACUGGGGCUAAUACCGGAUAGGAGCUCCUGCUGCAUGGUGGGGGUUGGAAAGUUUCGGCUGUUGGGGAUGGACUCGCGGCUUAUCAGCUUGUUGGUGGGGUAGUGGCUUACCAAGGUUUUGACGGGUAGCCGGCCUGGGAGGGUGACCGGCCACAUUGGGACUGAGAUACGGCCCAGACUCCUACGGGAGGCAGCAGUGGGGAGUAUUGCACAAUGGGCGGAAGCCUGAUGCAGCAACGCCGCGUGCGGGAUGACGGCCUUCGGGUUGUAAACCGCUUUCGCCUGUGACGAAGCGUGAGUGACGGUAAUGGGUAAAGAAGCACCGGCUAACUACGUG
rnacentral:rRNA from 1 species